rnacentral:tRNA from 1 species
UAUAAUUAAUUGUAUGAUACAAAUUAAAUUUUGAAUUUAAAUUAAAUGGUUUAAUUCUAUUAAUUAUAU